rnacentral:rRNA from 1 species
ACGUACACUCCUGCGGGAGGCAGCAGUGGGGAAUAUUGGACAAUGGGCGCAAGCCUGAUCCAGCCAUGCCGCGUGAGUGAUGAAGGCCCUAGGGUUGUAAAGCUCUUUCACCGGUGAAGAUAAUGACGGUAACCGGAGAAGAAGCCCCGGCUAACUUCGUGCCAGCAGCCGCGGUAAUACGAAGGGGGCUAGCGUUGUUCGGAUUUACUGGGCGUAAAGCGCACGUAGGCGGACUAUUAAGUCAGGGGUGAAAUCCCGGGGCUCAACCCCGGAACUGCCUUUGAUACUGGUAGUCUUGAGUUCGAGAGAGGUGAGUGGAAUUCCGAGUGUAGAGGUGAAAUUCGUAGAUAUUCGGAGGAACACCAGUGGCGAAGGCGGCUCACUGGCUCGAUACUGACGCUGAGGUGCGAAGGCGUGGGGAGCAAACAGGAUUAGAUACUCCUGUAGUCCCA